rnacentral:rRNA from 1 species
UACGUAGGUCCCGAGCGUUGUCCGGAUUUAUUGGGCGUAAAGCGAGCGCAGGUGGUUUAUUAAGUUUGGUGUAAAAGGCAGUGGCUCAACCAUUGUAUGCAUUGGAAACUGGUAGACUUGAGUGCAGGAGAGGAGAGUGGAAUUCCAUGUGUAGCGGUGAAAUGCGUAGAUAUAUGGAGGGACACCGGUGGCGAAAGCGGCUCUCUGGCCUGUAACUGACACUGAGGCUCGAAAGCGUGGGGAGCAAACAGG